rnacentral:SRP_RNA from 1 species
CCGUACUCCCCGGGGACUUAGCGGAUCUCUUGACUCGAACGCUUUUGCGAGGGGCAGAGCCUACUGUGAGGAGUAUAGGAAAUUUGUUGAUGUAUUUUCAGUUGUUGAUAGUUUAGAAUAUGAUGGCGUAAGCUAUCGAACCGUGUCAGGAUGGAAACAUAGCAGCACUAAGGUAAUCCUUGCGGGUGUCAUACUUCUAAAAAGGAGAUUGCAAGAUUCAAAUUCAAGUUUUCUUUAUUUCGAUAGGUAGUGGUACGG